rnacentral:rRNA from 1 species
UGGGGAAUAUUGCACAAUGGAGGGAACUCUGAUGCAGCGACGCCGCGUGAGUGAUGAAGGAAUUCGUUUCGUAAAACUCUGUUCUAUGGGAAGAAAAGGACUGUACCAUAGGAGAAAGCUCCGGCUAAAUACGUGCCAGCAGCCGCGGUAAUACGUAUGGAGCGAGCGUUGUCCGGAAUUAUUUGGCGUAAAGGAUGCGCAGGCGGCUUUACAAGUUGGAUGUGAAAUAUUGUGGCUCAACCACAAACGUGCAUCCAAGACUGCAAAGCUUAAGUUAAUGGGAGGUAAGUGGAAUUCCUGGUGUAGCGGUGGAAUGCGUAGAUCUCAAGUGGAAUGACGGUGGCGGAGUCAACUUACUUGUAUUAAACUGAAGCUCAGGCACGAAAGCGUGGGGAGCAUACAGG